AGGGGGCCUCGUUCCUAAAAAGCCUUUCCGAUUGCCCCCGCCCCUAUCUCUUAAAGCUACGGCAUCCCACCGAUCCCCGAAUCGGCUCUGCUAGUUGGCUUUGUUGCUAUCAAGGCAUAGCAUUCUAUGGACUCUUUCCCACGUCCAGAAAUGGUAUGCCAACAAACACCUUUUCUCCUUAGCCAACCAAAGUCUUCUGAUGGCAAUAACCGCGUUUCCCGUUAAAAGUAAAGCGGUGUUCUCUCUACGCAGGUAGAACCCUACUCGUAUUACCAAGGUCUUCCGAGUAGGAUAUGUAAUACGUCCAUAAGGACGACGUCACACCAGACGUCCUGCUUUA
rnacentral:lncRNA from 1 species